GUGAGGAAUAUUGGACAAUGGGCGCAAGCCUGAUCCAGCCAUGCCGCGUGCAGGAAGACGCAUCUAUGGUGUGUAAACUGCUUUUGUACGGGAAGAAACACUCCCUCGUGAGGGAGCUUGACGGUACCGUAAGAAUAAGGAUCGGCUAACUCCGUGCCAGCAGCCGCGGUAAUACGGAGGAUCCAAGCGUUAUCCGGAAUCAUUGGGUUUAAAGGGUCCGUAGGCGGUUUAAUAAGUCAGUGGUGAAAGCCCAUCGCUCAACGAUGGAACGGCCAUUGAUACUGUUAGACUUGAAUUACAAGGAAGUAACUAGAAUAUGUAGUGUAGCGGUGAAAUGCUUAGAUAUUACAUGGAAGACCAAUUGCGAAGGCAGGUUACUACUUGUGGAUUGACGCUGAUGGACGAAAGCGUGGGGAGCGAACAGGAUUAGAAACCCUGGUAGUCC
rnacentral:rRNA from 1 species